rnacentral:lncRNA from 1 species
AAAACGGGGAGAGAAAUAGUUGCGGUAUUUUCUUGUAUUUCUAUACAGCUUUUCAAUGCUCAGAACACGAUCCAGCAUGAUGAAUUGUUUCUGUGAAGGAGGCAGCUAGAAAGGAACAUUGUCUUCAUUCUCUAGAUAAGAGAACUGAAGGAAGAUAAUUCAGGGUAGGCUGAUUACAAUGCGGCAUGAAAAUGCAUAUCUACUGCUCCUUAUUCUAGUAUUCGAUCCACCCUGAUUGAAAUAACACAGUCAUCAAUAAUAACAACUAACACUUAUUGAAUACUUACCAUUCUUUAAAUAUAUUAUCUUAUUUAAUCCUCCCAACAACUCCACGCAAUGUAUACUAUAAUUAGCUUCGCCGCACAACUGAGGAUAACAAGUAUUGAGUCAACCCAGCUUCCUGUUUCUUAAAUAUCAUCCUGGGAAUGUUAAGUGUUUGGGGAGGUAAAUGAGCUUUUUUAUAACCACUCAGCAGUGCCUCAUUAUACUGUGUAAAAAACGGUUAGCCGCAUUUUCCCAUUAAGUUUGUAUUUUUUUCCUUCUUAUUUAUCUUCCCUUCCUGGUAGUGGAAACUUACCCACAGAAACAAAAGGAGUCUUUGAUCUUCACUACAUCUCAGCUUUUCAGGAGCCAUUUGAGCUUGAGGUCAAGAAGGAAGAGCUAAUCCUUUUGUCUUCUGACUUGGUUGGAAUAAUCAUCUCUUACUACGUAACUGAGUACCCCAAAACCUUGUGGCUUAAGGAAGAAUAAAUGUUUGUUAUUUCCGGCAGUUUCUGUGUGUUCGGAAUUGGUAAGUGGCUGAGCUGGGUGGUCUGGAGCAGGGUCUCUCAUAAUAUUGCAGUCAUCAUGGUAGCUGGGGCUGCAGUCAUCUGAAGGCUUGAUUAGGGCUGGAGAAUCUGCUUUUAAGAUGGCUUAAUUCGUAUGAGUGACCGACAACCUCAGUGCCUCUCCAUCUGAGCCUACUUACGGUGGAGUUUGAGUGUCCUCGUGACAUUUCAGCCGGCAUUCCCCCAGAGUGAGUGAUUGAAGGGAAUAAUAUAGUUGCCGCCAUGUCUUUAAUAGCCUAGAUUCAGAAAUCACAUGCUGUCAUGUUCACAAAUCCUAUUGGUCGCACCAGUCAGCUCUACUCAGUGUGGGAGGGGACUACAGAAGGGCGUGAAUACUGGAUGAUGAGGCUCAGGAG